UACAGAGGUCUCAAGCGUUGUUCGGAUUCAUUGGGCGUAAAGGGUGCGUAGGCGGCGCGGUAAGUCGGGUGUGAAAUCUCGGGGCUUAACUCCGAAACUGCAUUCGAUACUGCCGUGCUUGAGGACUGGAGAGGAGACUGGAAUUUACGGUGUAGCGGUGAAAUGCGUAGAUAUCGUAAGGAAGACCAGUGGCGAAGGCGGGUCUCUGGACAGUUCCUGACGCUGAAGCACGAAGGUCAGGGGAGCAAACGGG
rnacentral:rRNA from 1 species